UGAAAAUGAGGAGAAGCGUUCUUUAUGAACUAGAUGUUGUGCUUUGUCAUUUCAGACCAUUUACUAGUCGGAUCGGCGUUCUUUGAAGAUUUAAUUUCUGCACAAACAUUCUCACCGUGUAAUACCGUGGAGCAAAUGGUUUAAUUGCGACCAAAUAUUGAUGGCAGAGGGACUAAUAAAGGCUGCAUCGAAUGUCAAAAUAGCUACAUUUAGUAGAGGAGACGCGUGAUCAUGAAACAGUUGCUCCUUUUAAUCGGUAUCACUCUCAUAAUCACGCAAACGGUGUGCAUUCCUUUACAGGAGGAAUAUUCGAGCGACGAAUCCUCGGAUGCAUCAGAACCACAACCACAUCCUCCAAAAAAAGUAGCUGCUCCAUCGAAAAAAGAAAGCGGCGCGUGCAGUUGCGAACCGGACCACUCGAUCGCAGGUGCGUUUCGUUACAAUUUCGAUUUGAAUAAAAUCAAUUGGGGUGCUUUCGGAUAGGGUUCCAAAUAUGACUAUGUUAUUUGCUGUAUACAGAUAUCAGAAUGGAACAAGUUGUGACAAAUAAAUGAACAUCGUCUAUUUUCAGUC